GCCCCGAUAGUAUAAAAAUUACACUAGUCUUGUAAACUAGAAAUGAAGACACAAAUCUUCUCGAGGCA
rnacentral:tRNA from 1 species